UGAAUUAGGAAGCCACAGUCUACAC
rnacentral:piRNA from 1 species